AUCCCUUUUAUGGUUCAUAAGCAUGAUGAUUGAAUUUACACAUUUCUGUGUGAGAUAUGCCUCCCUUUAAACCUUAUAACAUCAGCACAUUACCUGAUGUGAAA